rnacentral:lncRNA from 1 species
GUUGGGCCUCAGUAGUAGGCACUGGCCUCAAAUGUGCCAGGCCCUGGGUUGGGUCCCCAGCAACCACAAAAAGGCAAAACCAAAGCCAAACAAAAAAAAAAUAUUCAGCGCCAGACAUGGUACUAGGGCUUUGUGUGUCGUUUUCUUUCUCGUGAUGGAACAGAAGCUUCAUGUGGACAGCAGCUGUGUCUACUUCCCUCAUCUUGUGGACUUAAAAAUCUAGGAUGUUGCCUGGUGCUUAAGAGGCACUCAACAAAUGUCUAUUGGAUGAGCGAAGCAAUGAAAUAAGUAGGUGUUUAUUAUUCCCACAUUACAGAUGGGAAAAGCUAGGUCAAAUUACGUAUAGAUCAUGUAACUGGGAGGUGCUGAGCAUGAGACUUAUGUCUUGGUUCCUUUGAUCUUAAAGCUCAGGUUUUGGCUACUCCCUGAAGCUGCCUCAGCCUCUCCUUCCUGCAAUGGGAGCUGAGGUUCAGCAUAAAAGCAAGAGGCUUGAUGGAGGUAUCCUAAAAAUAAAACCAGCCAGCCACAGGCUCCAGACUGCUGUUUUGGCCACGGGGCCAUAUUUCCAUCACAUUCAAAGGCUUCCAAGGGUUUGAGAUGGAAGGGAUACCAGCAGUUUGAGUAAAAGAUACUUAGUUUGAUCCAACACCACACCGAGCCCUCAUCAGCCACAGGCUCCCCUGCGCUUGUGGUCACCGAAGGAGCCGAAGCUGCUAAACUGACUGUAGUCCUGUUGUUUAUGUUCUCUCGCUGGCUGCAAUGCCCGGGUCUUUGAAUCCGG